AGCCACCCAGGCGCCCAGCUUUCAAAAUUUUUAAAGUAUCUGCAUCCCUGUUUAUUCCAAGUCAAAUCCAAUUUUUUUUUCUUAAACAAUCAAGUCAGAUUUCCUCUUAUGAAGUAACUUUGGGAUUCCAUAAUUCCAUUCACCCCGCGUUCCACUAAGGUUCUGCGGCAGCCCUUCACCCACGUGACAUCGUGUGAAAAUGUCUGCUCUGCUCCCGAACAGAUGGGACCCACCGUAUUUAGCAGUUUAACAUGGCCACACCAUCUGGUCGUGUGUGUAGUGAGGACAACAGAGGUCCAGCCAUCCUUCUUUUCCUGGUGUCCUCACAGCAUUCCCCAGAGCGUAUGUGGCGUUACUUAACAUGCUAGCCCUGUUAGAUCGUCUUGUGGUUCUAAAGUUCUGAGGCCAUAAUGGUGUGUAAGACCAAGGACUCCAAAGGAUUAAAAUCGCCACAUGUAAUCUGGUAGAGAUCAACUCUAUGGACAUGGCCGGAAAGCAGACAGGAACAUCCCUUUUGAAUGUCAAUAGUAACCUUGAACAGAAUGAACUUUUAUCAGAGAUCUUGAUAUUUAGGCUCAGGUGGCCAUCACCCAAGAAUUAGGAAUUUGAGGUGGUUUCAUUUUAUUUUACAUUCCUAGUAGGAGCAUCUCAUUACUGCCUGAAGGAUAUCCUUACGGAAGUUAUGUGGAAAUCGAGGGAUUUUGUUCAGUGCCUCUUUCUGUGUGUUAACCAUUUAAGGCAGUCUAAAUCCCCUCUAACCCCCAGGAAAAGACCAUCUACAGGCUUCGUUUUCAUGCAAAUUAAAAUGUGAAAUUCACAUUCUCUUCGUGACUCAAUGUAGCCUUGUGCUCCACACCAUUUCUCUGUAUUGAUAACAUUCCCCCAAAAGAGACAUGAAUGCUCCAACUUGUGCGGGACACACUGUUAGGAAACAGAAUCUGAAAAUGGCCUGAAGAAAAGAGAAUCCCAGGUGCAACUACCAAUUUCUUUAUGUGCUAGUGAAUAAAGAUAUUGUGACAUGUUGAGCAGUUCUUAAAAAGUGUUUAUAUACUUCGGUUUUGAUUGAUCAAAGUUUUUAAGUAGCAAGAUUCUGCAGACAUUAAAUACAAGAAGAACAGCAAAGAAGUUGUGGGAAUUGUUGGUAAGAUUCAUUUAUAAAUUUCUGUCUUUUCUACUAAUUAGGGAGUUGCGUUCAAGUCUUUGUAAAGAGAUACUUCAGUGGUGCCCUUCCUCGAGCUUUUUGAAUUUAUGGUUGGGCUGCUUUCUGCCUUGGAUAAUUGAAAGCAAAUUACAUGUAUCCUGUUCUCCCUAAAGAAGAAAAUGAUACUGAUUUUAUCACAUCAUCAUCUUUAUAGCUAGCAGCAAAUGCCUUUAUUGAGCACCCACUGUAUACACAGCACGGUUCUAAUCAAGGAUUUGCUAGAUCAACCUUUGAGGUCUCGUUCCUAUUCUUACUCCUUUAUUUCCAUAACUUCAUUAGCUUCCAAAGCCCAAUUCUAAUAUGCAUAAUUUAAGUAUAUUCCAGAUUCAGUCAGGUAAUUUUUUUUAAAGCAUUCUCAGGACAGGGUCGACACAUACUAUUGCAUACACAUACUAUGAGAGCUUGGCACAGUUGGCUGCCGGCAACAGACUGAGAUUCAUUCUGUAUAGCUAUUUUCCAGCCUGUUGGAUGCCAGCCAGUUGCCUAAUGGAUCAUGAGUGAGUCAGUUUUAUUCAGCCUCUUAGCAAAGUCGAUUUGUCCAGCAGCACACGAUUUUCUGUCAUGUAGGGUCUUUGCCUGACCCUGCAGUGACUAGCACCGUCUGUUCCUCCAUCUCUAGAUUCCAACUGGGGUUUGGCCCCAGAAGACUGGUCUAGAGAAUGAGAGUCCUCUUCUAAGGAGGGACAAUGGUGUCAUGAAAGCUUCCGGGAAGAAUUAGGUAGACUCACCUAUAUUCCAAAGAGGGCACAAAAAUAUCCAGAUGUUAGGUUGGCUUAAUAUGUGCAUGGGGCAAUGAACAACACUUGCCUUUUGAUGACUUCAGGCCCAGUCCCUCUUGCUAUUAUUUUAAGUUGCUGAAAAAUAAUGAAAACGGAGUCCAUCUGGAAGGGACUGAAUGGUGUGUGCCCGUAAACCUGACUCACGGCCCAGUGUUGAAGGUCAGUGUGGCCCCUUUUAAAUCUGCCCCGUGCAUGGGACAAGGGACCAGGUCCAGGCAGGAUGUGAGAUAAGCACAUCUUCUGUACCCCCAUUGCUCCCCUCCAGACCUCAGAGCUCAUCACGUGCCAGGCACCAGGUGUAAAAUAACCACAAAAUUCCAAUUCCCCAUUGGAGAAACUGUGGCUUAAUGUAUAUAUUACUCGGUUCCUUCUUUUCUAUUUGAUACAGUAAAAUCAAAAUCUGGGGAACCACUGUGACCCAGGCAGACAUACUCUUGUGGAUCAAAAAAGCUUUGGUUUCCAUUCUUCAUCCCUUCCAGGUCUUAAAAGUAUGCAAAAGACAGCCUUAGCCUCAUCGACUCCCUACUUCCAUUGUGAGGAAUCAGAACAGACCACUUUCCUCUUUGAUUCAUUUUUUUAAAAUUGUCCAUAAUGAUGCAUACCUCAUGCUUGUCUGCCUUCCCCUUGCCUUUUGUUUCUUCCUGUCUGGCCUAAGGAGCAGGCUCUUGGCAUGAUUUCAGCUGUGCUUUCCUAGCUGUUACGCAUCGAGCACACUCUACCAGGUAGAGGCUAGCGUGUUCUUUUCACGGACGUUAGCAGGUUGUAACUUAAUCUUCCAUUCCGCGUUUCACCCCCAGAAUCUAAGUGAUCAGUACGCACAUUUUCAAGCUACACAUCUGACACGAUAUCCAAACUUGCUAGGAUCAAUUAUUAUCAUCAUUUCAGAUUUGAGAUUGCAGAUGUUCAUCCCGGGACUUUGCCAAUAUUCUUAGGUCUGGUAAUUUUUUUUUCCCCCGUAGAUGAGUGUUCCAAUUUAAGUGUGUUUUCUUUUCACGAGUCUUCGAUGUGUAACUGUUCUGACAUUGCAGAGAUUGUAGGAUUCCUAAUAUUUAGUCUCAUGAGGUGCUCCAUUUUUUUUAAAAGUACUCUUUUUAUUGUGUUUCUUUCCUGCUGACCCAUCAUUGCACUAGAUCAGGUCCUUAUUUGUCUUUUGAGCAUGACUAAUAAUAAUAAAGUCUGAGCUCCGGUCUGAGAUUCCAUAUUUUAAUUGUAUAAAGCAGCUCUGAAGACCCAGACUGACAAGAUCCCAAGCCUAAAUGAAAUUAGGUCAUGUCUCAGAGAAAUCAUCCCGUGAAUCAAGCAGAAUGUGUGGGUGUGUGCACAUGUGGGAGAGAGAGAGAGAGAGAAUGUACUUGCACACAGCCCACGAUGCUAAUAAUAUUUCCUCAGACUGCAACUACUCAGGGCCCGUGUAGUAAAGUGAAAAGAGCUUGGGGGGGUAGAUCUAGCAUUCAUGUGACAGGUUAGGACCCAAAAGCCUAGACAGAACACAUUAUUUGCCUGAAAUCCCCUAGGUCUGUCAGGAUGCUCCUGGCCCAAGCCUCUCUACUGAGAGCCAGCUCUGACUCUGACUGGGGCCUGGAGCUCUGCCUACCAGUCAGGUGUUUCCCAACUCCUAAUGACACAGUUGGGGGCAGGGGGCGGGGGCAGGUGAAGUUUUCACCUACAGGUCCAUCUCCAGAUUCUAAAAUUUACCAGCGAGGUUGUGAACUCAAGAGCUGCUAAGCAGAACUGGAGAACAGCCCUGUAUCAUUAUCACAGUUUUAUGGGGAAGUCCAGAAAAGAAUAAAAAGCAGACUCAUGGCGCCUUCUAUACCCCAGAAGUAGACCCAUCACAAAGAGGAGUCAGAAACAAAUUUGUUGUAGGCAAAAUGUUCCUUGUGGGAUUAAAAAAAAAAAAAAAAAAAAAAACUGAAUUGUGCAAAUGUGAAGUUGGGUGUGUACAUGUCCAUUGUGAUGUGGGGGGAAGCAUGCUGCGGGGUGUGUGUGGGUCUCCAAAUUCAUUAACACUGCUUGGUCGCAAAGCACCACUCCUUUUUGCUAAUAUUAUUAAGUGCCAUCUAUUAAAAAAUCAGAUGCCUGCAAAUGGGAGUAUUUAAAUCGUUGGAGGAAGCAAGAUAGCUUGUAUCCCAUUAUUAUCAAAGACUAAUAUCCAAAUAAGGAUAUAAUCAAACAACUCAAAACAGUCCCAAGACUGAAGCAAAGGAAUGUCCACAGUAUUCUAAGCCAGUGUCUGGAUGCUGAAAAUCAGCCUUACUCGUCAAUGAAAGUGACCACAAAAUUAGAUGAUUUUGACCCAAAAGAAUGCCUCAGCCUCCUUUCCAAGAGUGCCUGCCAGCUUUCCAUUUAUGCGUUUCCCCUCUGCACCCACAGUCCCAGGUGGAAAUGAAGAUGGUUUUCUGUUUGUUUUGAAGACAGAGCUUUAGGUCAUUGAGCAGAGUGUGAACUGAACUGAAUGUGAAGGAAAGAAACUCUUCCCAUCAACAUCGGCAGUUUGGGGGAGACAGGGAGACGGAAAACACUACUCGGGUCUCAGAAAAGCUUUCCCCGGAGUUGGAUCAUGUUAGAUAAUGUCAUGAUCCUCUUCACUUUCAAAGUUAGAUAAUGUCAUGAUCCUCUUCACUUUCAAAGUUCCUUAAUUACCUUAGAGAGGGAAAACUGUACCCAAGUGGUGGAAAUCUACAUUUCUUUUCCCUGAGUGGAAAAAAGCCCGCACUGCUCUCCAGCCGAAAGCCCUCACCAGUUUCCCGGGUUGCCUUUCCCUGACACUUCCAACUCCUCCACCGGCAGUAAGGACCCCCUGGGCCACUCCACAGCUUGAAGAGCACAAGAUCCUUGAAAAUUAUCACCAUCUCAGAAAUAGCGAUUAUAUUAAGCAGCCUCAGAAUGCUUCCAGCUUUUACCUAUACCUGGUUUUUUAAAAAAAAAUUUUUUUAAGUGCAUUGAAAAUGGGAGGUAGUAAAGGCUCAUGAUUCUUUUCCAAGAACCUGAAAACACAAGGUAAUUAAUCUUUAAGGAUGGUUUUGUGCGUCUGAGUUGUGUACGUGAUGUCGUUUCAUAGACUGGAAGUUCUGUGAACUAUCAGAUUGGAUAGAUGUUGCCUCCAAUUCUGACUGCAGGACCGACUUCAUUGUUAAAUUGAACAUUAGCGCUGACAGAACAUGUUCUUCAUAGGAGUGGAUGGAGAAAAAUUGAAGUAGGAUCAUGUGGGCUAAGCUUGAGGCAGUCUGAUCUGUUGAAGAAUUACUAGGCACACCAAAGGAGAUGGUCCUGGGCUAGUCAUCUCUCUGAGGUUUGCCAUGCCUAGCAUUUUCAUCAUGGGUAAUUCAGAGAAACUCUUGAUUUAAUUACCAAAUGUUUUCUACAACAUAUUUAAAGUUAACUAUUUAUUUUGGGCAUGAGUAAAUCAGGGAAUUGCUUUAUGCCAAGUACUUACCUAUUGAUUCUAUAUGUAAGAAUCUGAAAAAAAAAAAAAAA